rnacentral:rRNA from 1 species
UGGGGAAUAUUGCACAAUGGGGGAAACCCUGAUGCAGCGACGCCGCGUGAACGAAGAAGGUAUUCGUAUCGUAAAGUUCUGUCCUAUGGGAAGAUAAUGACAGUACCAUAGAAGAAAGCUCCGGCUAAAUACGUGCCAGCAGCCGCGGUAAUACGUAUGGAGCGAGCGUUGUCCGGAAUUAUUGGGCGUAAAGGGUACGCAGGCGGUUUAAUAAGUCGAAUGUUAAAGAUCGGGGCUCAACCCCGCAAAGCAUUGGAAACUGAUAAACUUGAGUAGUGGAGAGGGAAGUGGAAUUCCUAGUGUAGUGGUGAAAUACGUAGAUAUCAGGAGGAAUACCAGUAGCGAAGGCGACUUUCUGGACACAAACUGACGCUGAGGUACGAAAGCGUGGGGAGCAAACAGG